rnacentral:misc_RNA from 1 species
GAUGAAGAACGUAGCGAAAUGCGAUAAGUAAUGUGAAUUGCAGAAUUCAGUGAAUCAUCGAAUCUUUGAACGCACAUUGCGCCCACCAGUAUUCUGGCGGGCAUGCCUGUUCGAGCGUCAUUUCAACCAUCAAGCCCCCGGCUUGUGUUGGGGACCUGCGGCUGCCGCAGGCCCUGAAAACCAGUGGCGGGCUCGCUAGUCACUCCGAGCGUAGUAAUACAUCUCGCUCAGGGCGUGCUGCGGGUUCCGGCCGUUAAAAAGCCUUAUUUACCCAAGGUUGACCUCGGAUCAGGUAGGAAGACCCGCUGAACUUAAGCAUAUCAAUAAGCGGAGGA